CGUUAGUAUGUCACGAGGCUUCAUACAGUAACUUUGCUUAUAAAAUGCCGUCUUGUGUGAUUAAAUGGUGCAAAAACAAUACCAAAGUAAACAAAAAAAUCUGAAGGAAUAUCGUUUCACACGUUUCCAACGAAUAUUUUAAUAAGCGGUGAAUGGUUAGCGGCUGUAAGACUGAGAAAAUGACCACGAUUAUGCUGGCCAUGCGCAUAAAGUCAAUUUAAUACAAUUAGUGAUUGAAAAAUAUUUGAACAUAAGACUAUAUCAUAUUAGUAAAAUGCAAACAAUGACGAUGACUCUGAGUUCUAAGCGACAAAAAUUUAAAAAACUUAUACAACAUAAAGGAUUCUAGGUUUAAGAAAAAUAGUUAAAAAAAAACCGACUGCAAACUGAAAAUAGGUUAAACAGAGGGGAUAGGAAGUGUCCAUUCAUACGAUUAUCUUACGAAUAUUUUUUUUUAUUAUUCUACCGAUUUUUUGUUUUAUUUUUAGUAAAUUUAUAUAAAACUA
rnacentral:misc_RNA from 1 species